AUUGAACGCUGGCGGCAUGCCUUACACAUGCAAGUCGAACGGCAGCACGGGAGCAAUCCUGGUGGCGAGUGGCGAACGGGUGAGUAAUAUAUCGGAACGUGCCCAGUCGUGGGGGAUAACGUAGCGAAAGCUACGCUAAUACCGCAUACGAUCUAUGGAUGAAAGCGGGGGAUCGCAAGACCUCGCGCGAUUGGAGCGGCCGAUAUCAGAUUAGGUAGUUGGUGAGGUAAAGGCUCACCAAGCCGACGAUCUGUAGCUGGUCUGAGAGGACGACCAGCCACACUGGAACUGAGACACGGUCCAGACUCCUACGGGAGGCAGCAGUGGGGAAUUUUGGACAAUGGGCGCAAGCCUGAUCCAGCAAUGCCGCGUGCAGGAUGAAGG
rnacentral:rRNA from 1 species